AUUGAACGCUGGCGGCAGGCUUAACACAUGCAAGUCGAGCGGAGAUGAGGUGCUUGCACCUUAUCUUAGCGGCGGACGGGUGAGUAAUGCUUAGGAAUCUGCCUAUUAGUGGGGGACAACAUUCCGAAAGGAAUGCUAAUACCGCAUACGUCCUACGGGAGAAAGCAGGGGAUCUUCGGACCUUGCGCUAAUAGAUGAGCCUAAGUCGGAUUAGCUAGUUGGUGGGGUAAAGGCCUACCAAGGCGACGAUCUGUAGCGGGUCUGAGAGGAUGAUCCGCCACCCUGAGACUGAGACACGGCCCAGACUCCUACGGGAGGCAGCAGUGGGGAAUAUUGGGCAAUGGGGGGAACCCUGAUCCAGCCAUGCCGCGUGUGUGAAGAAGGCCUUAUGGUUGUAAAGCACUUUAAGCGAGGAGGAGGCUACUGAGACUAAUACUCUUGGAUAGUGGACGUUACUCGCAGAAUAAGCACCGGCUAACUCUGUGCCAGCCGCCGCAGUAA
rnacentral:rRNA from 1 species